rnacentral:rRNA from 1 species
UACGGGGGGGGCAAGCGUUGUUCGGAAUUACUGGGCGUAAAGGGCGCGUAGGCGGCCUGCUAAGUCGGAUGUGAAAUCCCUCGGCUCAACCGAGGAACUGCAUCCGAUACUGGCGGGCUUGAAUCCGGGAGAGGGAUGUGGAAUUCCAGGUGUAGCGGUGAAAUGCGUAGAUAUCAGGAGGAACACCGGUGGCGAAGGCGGCUACCUGGACAGAGUCUGACGCUGAGGCACGAAAGCUAGGGGAGCAAACAGG